CACGUAGGGCGCAAGCGUUGUCCGGAAUUACUGGGCGUAAAGAGCUCGUAGGUGGUUUGUCGCGUUGUCCGUGAAAACUCACAGCUUAACUGUGGGCGUGCGGGCGAUACGGGCAGACUGGAGUACUGCAGGGGAGACUGGAAUUCCUGGUGUAGCGGUGGAAUGCGCAGAUAUCAGGAGGAACACCGGUGGCGAAGGCGGGUCUCUGGGCCGAUACUGACGCUGAGGAGCGAAAGCGUGGGGAGCGAACAGG
rnacentral:rRNA from 1 species